rnacentral:lncRNA from 1 species
GGAUUGAAACUAGAGAUAAGGGGUGUGGAAAUCAUAAAAAAAAUUUUGAAAAUAAUCUGAGAAAAGAUAAGGAGAAAUUGAGUGGCAAAAAUUGUAAGAAGGGUGGUGAGAGAUUUAGCAAGAGUUGCGAAUGUGCCCUAGGGUUUGAUUUUUUCAUAUGUUGGAGUCAAAAAUUAAAUUCUAAAUUAUAACAUCUGAAGAGUAUCUUUUUGGUAUGAUUUUGGUGGCAA